UGAACGCUGGCGGCAUGCCUUACACAUGCAAGUCGAACGGCAGCACGGGAGCAAUCCUGGUGCGGAGUGGCGGAACGGGGUGAGUAACUGCAUCGGAACGUGCCCAGUCGUGGGGGAUAACGCAGCGAAAGCUGCGCUAAUACCGCAUACGAUCUGUGGAUGAAAGCGGGGGACCGUAAGGCCUCGCGCGAUUGGAGCGGCCGAUGUCAGAUUAGGUUGUUGGUGAGGUAAAGGCUCACCAAGCCGACGAUCUGUAGCUGGUCUGAGAGGACGACCAGCCACACUGGGACUGAGACACGGCCCAGACUCCUACGGGAGGCAGCAGUGGGGAAUUUUGGACAAUGGGCGCAAGCCUGAUCCAGCAAUGCCGCGUGCAG
rnacentral:rRNA from 1 species